rnacentral:rRNA from 1 species
UACAGAGGGGGCAAGCGUUAUUCGGAAUUAUUGGGCGUAAAGGGCGCGUAGGCGGCUUGGCAAGUGGAUGGUGAAAUCCCUCGGCUUAACCGAGGAACUGCCGUCCAAACUGCUUCGCUUGAGACCGGGAGAGGUGAGUGGAAUUCCCAGUGUAGCGGUGAAAUGCGUAGAUAUUGGGAGGAACACCAGUGGCGAAGGCGGCUCACUGGACCGGUACUGACGCUGAUGCGCGAAAGCGUGGGAGCAAACGGG